UACGGAGGGUGCAAGCGUUAAUCGGAAUUACUGGGCGUAAAGCGCACGUAGGUGGUUGAUUAAGUCAGCUGUGAAAUCCCCGGGCUCAACCUGGGACUUGCAGUUGAAACUGAUCAGCUAGAGUAGGGUAGAGGGGUGUGGAAUUCCAGGUGUAGCGGUGAAAUGCGUAGAUAUCGGGAGGAACACCUGUGGCGAAAGCGGCGCACUGGACCAUAACUGACGCUGAGGCGCGAAAGCUAGGGGAGCAAACAGG
rnacentral:rRNA from 1 species